GACGAACGCUGGCGGCGUGCCUAAUACAUGCAAGUCGUACGCUUCUUUUUCCACCGGAGCUUGCUCCACCGGAAAAAGAAGAGUGGCGAACGGGUGAGUAACACGUGGGUAACCUACCCAUCAGAAGGGGAUAACACUUGGAAACAGGUGCUAAUACCGUAUAACAAUCGAAACCGCAUGGUUUUGAUUUGAAAGGCGCUUUCGGGUGUCGCUGAUGGAUGGACCCGCGGUGCAUUAGCUAGUUGGUGAGGUAACGGCUCACCAAGGCUACGAUGCAUAGCCGACCUGAGAGGGUGAUCGGCCACAUUGGGACUGAGACACGGCCCAAACUCCUACGGGAGGCAGCAGUAGGGAAUCUUCGGCAAUGGACGAAAGUCUGACCGAGCAACGCCGCGUGAGUGAAGAAGGUUUUCGGAUCGUAAAACUCUGUUGUUAGAGAAGAACAAGGAUGAGAGUAACUGUUCAUCCCUUGACGGUAUCUAACCAGAAAGCCACGGCUAACUACGUGCCAGCAGCCGCGGUAAUACGUAGGUGGCAAGCGUUGUCCGGAUUUAUUGGGCGUAAAGCGAGCGCAGGCGGUUUCUUAAGUCUGAUGUGGAAGCCCCCGGCUCAACCGGGGAGGGUCAUUGGAAACUGGGAGACUUGAGUGCAGAAGAGGAGAGUGGAAUUCCAUGUGUAGCGGUGAAAUGCGUAGAUAUAUGGAGGAACACCAGUGGCGAAGGCGGCUCUCUGGUCUGUAACUGACGCUGAGGCUCGAAAGCGUGGGGAGCAAACAGGAUUAGAUACCCUGGUAGUCCACGCCGUAAACGAUGAGUGCUAAGUGUUGGAGGGUUUCCGCCCUUCAGUGCUGCAGCUAACGCAUUAAGCACUCCGCCUGGGGAGUACGACCGCAAGGUUGAAACUCAAAGGAAUUGACGGGGGCCCGCACAAGCGGUGGAGCAUGUGGUUUAAUUCGAAGCAACGCGAAGAACCUUACCAGGUCUUGACAUCCUUUGACCACUCUAGAGAUAGAGCUUCCCCUUCGGGGGCAAAGUGACAGGUGGUGCAUGGUUGUCGUCAGCUCGUGUCGUGAGAUGUUGGGUUAAGUCCCGCAACGAGCGCAACCCUUAUUGUUAGUUGCCAUCAUUCAGUUGGGCACUCUAGCAAGACUGCCGGUGACAAACCGGAGGAAGGUGGGGAUGACGUCAAAUCAUCAUGCCCCUUAUGACCUGGGCUACACACGUGCUACAAUGGGAAGUACAACGAGUCGCGAAGUCGCGAGGCUAAGCUAAUCUCUUAAAGCUUCUCUCAGUUCGGAUUGUAGGCUGCAACUCGCCUACAUGAAGCCGGAAUCGCUAGUAAUCGCGGAUCAGCACGCCGCGGUGAAUACGUUCCCGGGCCUUGUACACACCGCCCGUCACACCACGAGAGUUUGUAACACCCGAAGUCGGUGAGGUAACCUUUUGGAGCCAGCCGCCUAAGGUGGGAUAGAUGAUUGGGGUG
rnacentral:rRNA from 1 species